UACUGUUAUGUGAAAUCUGAAUCUGAAAUGCCAAACUAGCUGGAUUCACUUCUUGUUCAUUGUUCUUUGUUCUCACAGUAUUAUCCGUAAAGACUAGAUUAGACUUCCAUCAACAUCUUUCUACUAUGAAUAUGUUCUGAAUUUUUCAAAUCAUGUAUUUUAUGCAGCUAGAAACGUCGUCUAGUUUUCUAGAAUGCGAGGUUAAAAGAACUUGGCUUUCAGUCGGUGGAAGAAGGUUGAGCUAUUUCUGGUCAACACGGUGCCUUCUCAAAUUAGUUUCUUUGCAUUUGAUUGCCAAUAAUCAUUUAUGAUGACUGUUCUGCUAUUCAAGGAGGUGAAGCUCAACUGUGUGCCCAGUGUGGCAGUCCUGAUGCAUUGAUACAUGUGACGUCACUAAUGUGUCACUUCAACCUAGUUUGGCUGCUACAGUCAGCGACGCACAGUGACGCGGUCAGCAUUCAACGUCACUGAGAUGUGUUGAAGAAAGCGUCUCAAUAUCAGUACCUUCCUCUGGUCCACAAUGACUGUGCAUCAAUAUAGGAAGCCACCGCAAUAUAUCCUACAAAUGGAUUCAUAAUGAAAAU